GCUAGCUCGUGUUCUGAGAUGCUUUUCGGCCGUCGAGGGCAGCUGUUGAAUUUCUUUCUGUGGCAGUGACCCUAUGCUUUAAGCUGUUCCUCGUUCGUCUCAGGGAACUACUACAUUCUUCUUAUCAACACCGUCUCAUGCUCUGUGCUGCUUUCCAGCCGUCUUGAGCCGGGGUUGAGUUAUUCCGGUAACGCCCCAGAUCUGUGUUGUAAAGACCGUUCUGGUGGCUACCGAUUUAUUUGCCAGUUUUAUGCGAGGGUUCCAAGGGUCUAAUUUACAGUUAG
rnacentral:lncRNA from 1 species